rnacentral:rRNA from 1 species
GAUGAACGCUGGCGGCGUGCCUAAUACAUGCAAGUCGAGCGAACGGACGAGAAGCUUGCUUCUCUGAUGUUAGCGGCGGACGGGUGAGUAACACGUGGAUAACCUACCUAUAAGACUGGGAUAACUUCGGGAAACCGGAGCUAAUACCAGAUAAUAUUUUGAACCGCAUGAUUCAAAAGUGAAAGACGGUCUUGCUGUCACUUAUAGAUGGAUCCGCGCUGCAUUAGCUAGUUGGUAAGGUAACGGCUUACCAAGGCAACGAUGCAUAGCCGACCUGAGAGGGUGAUCGGCCACACUGGAACUGAGACACGGUCCAGACUCCUACGGGAGGCAGCAGUAGGGAAUCUUCCGCAAUGGGCGAAAGCCUGACGGAGCAACGCCGCGUGAGUGAUGAAGGUCUUCGGAUCGUAAAACUCUGUUAUUAGGGAAGAACAUAUGUGUAAGUAACUGUGCACAUCUUGACGGUACCUAAUCAGAAAGCCACGGCUAACUACGUG